CCUACGGGAGGCAGCAGUGAGGAAUAUUGGUCAAUGGACGAGAGUCUGAACCAGCCAAGUAGCGUGAAGGAUGACUGCCCUAUGGGUUGUAAACUUCUUUUAUAAAGGAAUAAAACGAGGCACGUGUGCCGUGUUGCAUGUACUUUAUGAAUAAGGAUCGGCUAACUCCGUGCCAGCAGCCGCGGUAAUACGGAGGAUCCGAGCGUUAUCCGGAUUUAUUGGGUGUAAAGGGAGCGUAGAUGGGUUGUUAAGUCAGUUGGGAAAGUUUGCGGCUCAACCGUAAAAUUGCAAUUGAUACUGCCAGUCUUGAGUACAGUUGCGGUAGGCGGACUUCGUUGUGUCGCGGUGACCUGCUUAGAUAUCACG
rnacentral:rRNA from 1 species